rnacentral:rRNA from 1 species
UUGAACGCUGGCGGCAGGCCUAACACAUGCAAGUCGAGCGGUAGCACAGAGAGCUUGCUCUCGGGUGACGAGCGGCGGACGGGUGAGUAAUGUCUGGGAAACUGCCUGAUGGAGGGGGAUAACUACUGGAAACGGUGGCUAAUACCGCAUAAUGUCGCAAGACCAAAGUGGGGGACCUUCGGGCCUCAUGCCAUCAGAUGUGCCCAGAUGGGAUUAGCUAGUAGGUGGGGUAACGGCUCACCUAGGCGACGAUCCCUAGCUGGUCUGAGAGGAUGACCAGCCACAUUGGAACUGAGACACGGUCCAGACUCCUACGGGAGGCAGCAGUGGGGAAUAUUGCACAAUGGGCGCAAGCCUGAUGCAGCCAUGCCGCGUGUGUGAAGAAGGCCUUCGGGUUGUAAAGCACUUUCAGCGGGGAGGAAGGCGUUAAGGUUAAUAACCUUGGCGAUUGACGUUACCCGCAGAAGAAGCACCGGCUAACUCCGUGCCAGCAGCCGCGGUAAUACGGAGGGUGCAAGCGUUAAUCGGAAUUACUGGGCGUAAAGCGCACGCAGGCGGUCUGUCAAGUCGGAUGUGAAAUCCCCGGGCUCAACCUGGGAACUGCAUUCGAAACUGGCAGGCUAGAGUCUUGUAGAGGGGGGUAGAAUUCCAGGUGUAGCGGUGAAAUGCGUAGAGAUCUGGAGGAAUACCGGUGGCGAAGGCGGCCCCCUGGACAAAGACUGACGCUCAGGUGCGAAAGCGUGGGGAGCAAACAGGAUUAGAUACCCUGGUAGUCCACGCCGUAAACGAUGUCGAUUUGGAGGUUGUGCCCUUGAGGCGUGGCUUCCGGAGCUAACGCGUUAAAUCGACCGCCUGGGGAGUACGGCCGCAAGGUUAAAACUCAAAUGAAUUGACGGGGGCCCGCACAAGCGGUGGAGCAUGUGGUUUAAUUCGAUGCAACGCGAAGAACCUUACCUGGUCUUGACAUCCACAGAACUUUCCAGAGAUGGAUUGGUGCCUUCGGGAACUGUGAGACAGGUGCUGCAUGGCUGUCGUCAGCUCGUGUUGUGAAAUGUUGGGUUAAGUCCCGCAACGAGCGCAACCCUUAUCCUUUGUUGCCAGCGGUCCGGCCGGGAACUCAAAGGAGACUGCCAGUGAUAAACUGGAGGAAGGUGGGGAUGACGUCAAGUCAUCAUGGCCCUUACGACCAGGGCUACACACGUGCUACAAUGGCAUAUACAAAGAGAAGCGACCUCGCGAGAGCAAGCGGACCUCAUAAAGUAUGUCGUAGUCCGGAUUGGAGUCUGCAACUCGACUCCAUGAAGUCGGAAUCGCUAGUAAUCGUAGAUCAGAAUGCUACGGUGAAUACGUUCCCGGGCCUUGUACACACCGCCCGUCACACCAUGGGAGUGGGUUGCAAAAGAAGUAGGUAGCUUAACCUUCGGGAGGGCGCUUACCACUUUGUGAUUCAUGACUGGGGUG